UGACAAAAGACAUGGAGGCUUUCAAAAGGGGUCAAGGGCAUUAAACAGUAAUGUUUAUCGGUGACACUUUAACCUGCCCUUGGGUGAACGAAGAUAAAAGCAUGAUAAUAUUUGAGGCAGGUGACAUCUUAGGAAGAUCCCGUUCAGAUACUCAUUCUCUCAGUUAAACAACUUCUCUCAGUGGCAUGUGAUGGCAAUGAAGAACAAAGUAAGUAAAUAUCUCAGUUCACGAACGACUUCCAAUMUUUUUACGAUAUUAACAGUUUAAUUGGCAAAGUACAUUUUAGUCCAAUAUCUUUCCUUUGUUUAUUUUGUUA